rnacentral:rRNA from 1 species
CUACGAAGGGGGCUAGCGUUGUUCGGAAUCACUGGGCGUAAAGCGUAUGUAGGCGGAUCAAAAAGUUAGAUGUGAAAUCCCUGGGCUCAACCCAGGAACUGCAUUUAAAACUAGAGAUCUAGAAUUUGGUAGGGGUUAGUAGAAUUUCCAGUGUAGAGGUGAAAUUCGUAGAUAUUGGAAAGAAUACCAGUGGCGAAGGCGACUAACUGGGCCAUUUUUGACGCUGAGAUACGAAAGCGUGGGUAGCAAACAGGAUUAGAUACCCUGGUAGUCCACGCAGUAAACGAUGAGUGCUAGUCGCUGGGACAUUAGUUUCAGUGUCGAAGCUAACGCAUUAAGCACUCCGCCUGGGAAGUACGGUCGCAAGAUUAAAACUCAAAUAAAUUGACGGGGGCCCGCACAAGCGGUGGAGCAUGUGGUUUAAUUCGGAGCAACGCGAAGAACCUUACCAGACCUUGACAUGGUGUGUAUGAAUUACAGAAUCGUAAUUCUUCAGUUCGGCUGGCACACACACA